AACAGACCAGAGCAGAGCACAACGGACUGGCUUUGUUCAUCUUUCCCGAUGGGUGAAUCCAGUGCUCAGGACCGAGUGCCAGCAAUGCCAGUCAUUUCUGGGUCUUUUGUUAAAAAAAAAAAGAAAAAGAAACACGAAAAAAUCCUCCAAGUUUACAGAAGUUAGACAUCACCAGCCAGCUCAUCUUUCCUUGAUCACCUUCUGUGAUGCUGGUCUCCAGAACCUCCAGGUGAAGUCAGGAUGGGUACACAAUUCAGGUGAGCGUACUUGAAAGCACAAGUGAAUGCUGCAGAGAGCUGUUUGCUUUGCAUUAUUCACACUCUUCAAGCUCUGGCAAAUUGCUUUUCCUCUGACCGUACUUCACUGUAAUUUUUUCAAGCUGAACUGGUUUGGAUGGAAUAAGUGUCUGUUCUGAAUCUUCAUUAGAAAUGUCAAUUGACUUUGAAUCUUUUUGGAAGGCCCAGAAAGAAAUGAAGACUUUCAAGCAUCUUUGUGCUUUUGGUGUCUGGAAGUGGCUUCUCUCACAGGAGAGAAAAGAAAAGAAGCAGAUCUAUUUGAGUAAUUUAAUCUGUAUAAGGUAAUUUACUACAAGGCAACACUUCAGUACUCAGUGCUUUUAUUUUCCAGCACACAAGUAUCCUUGACCUCGCUCUUCUCUAGCCUCAGUUUUGUUUCAGCUAACUCUUGUAAGAAGAAGCCUCCCUAAGGAGCAAAUCUACAAGUCAAAGCCAUGACUUCCUUGCUCAGAAAAGGACCCAGGAGAUUGAAUCAGCUGGCAUGGCUGUCACCACGAAGCAUUUCUCUGUCAAGAUUUGUGCUGGAGAUGCCUGACACAGACAUUUCACUGAGCCACCAUACGGAGCAGUGGUACUGGGGAAGCUUUGGGAUGGUCUCCUCUCCACUGCUCUUUCGUACCACGGUCACAUAAAGGCCGUCAGCUCAUUUUGGCACCUGGACCAAGCAGGAAUCGUGCCAAAUGAACAUCAGACCAAAAAUAGUCCCUUCCCUGUCAGGCAA
rnacentral:lncRNA from 1 species